UUCCAUUUAAAACACUUAACUUGUAAGCAUGCAAAACAUGCCCCCAAAUGGUGCUUCCGGGUCUGGGUCCUCUGAGGCUCAGGUAGUCCUGAUUGGGAUGCCAAUGGCAAGGGUGUGCAUGUUCGUGAUAGUGAAGACAUGGAAGCAGGCAUGGCCUUGAACAGGAGGAUGUGUGCCUGGCACAGCCCUGGCAGCUCCUGUUCGUCCCCAGGAGGCUGGUGCCCACGGAGAAACUAAGAUGCAGGCUGGUGAGCGGACUGGCCCGAUGUCACACAGCCUGUGUUCAGCAGAAGCACGAUUCAAGCGCUGGCCUGCCACACUGAAAAGUCCACGCUUUCUGCGAAACCACAGAUCAGCCGCAAGGAUUAUAAUGUUGGAGAGGGGAUUAACCACCCAAGAGUACUCAUUGCCCUCCCUCGCUUCUGCAGUAAGAACGUUUCCAUCCUGAAACAACCCAUUGCCUCUGAGGGAGAGCGGGAAGGUCUCAGCAGGCAUGAGGGACUCAGCUGUCAGCCCUUAGGAGGUGGACAAGGGAGCCGGGCUGGUGGCGGGUGCGGGCGGGCUUGUUGGGGCUAAAUUUCGAGAGAGAGAAGAGCCCCAGGGGAGUUUUCUUUGCAGGAAAGAAGCAUCAGGUGCUGGAAGCUGCGGGGAUGGGGUGCAUCUGUAAGUCAUAGAACAAACACCAGACCUCUCCACUUAAGACCUCAUUCUUUUGCUGGGGGUGAGCAGAGGAGGCACCUCUAUUUGGGAACCAGUGAAACUUAAAUCACCCUGAACCCUGCACUUUUUCUGUUACUUGUAUAGACUUCAUGGUGCUUGGAGAAGCCGUGGACCUUCUGUAGAGGAAGUUAUAUUUCUGGAAAUGAGACUCUCUGGAUUCAUGAAAUUUGCCUGUUUCUUGAGGUUUCCCUCCUUUUUUGUACAGUGGCUUUUCUUUGCAAAGAGAAGGCGUCUUUCAGGGAGGUUCUGAUAAAUCUUAUGAGCAAAUGAGAGCAUGAGGCCCAGGCCCUAAGGGAGCUCCCCAAGUGCUUCAUUCCUUUAGUCCUGAGCAGGGGUUCCACGCAGCCGGCCCUGUGUCCGCCCCCCAACCCCACCCCUGCUCC